rnacentral:rRNA from 1 species
CCUACGGGAGGCAGCAGUGAGGAAUAUUGGUCAAUGGACGCAAGUCUGAACCAGCCAUGCCGCGUGCAGGAAGACGGCUCUAUGAGUUGUAAACUGCUUUUGUACGAGGGUAAACGCAGAUACGCGUAUCUGUCUGAAAGUAUCGUACGAAUAAGGAUCGGCUAACUCCGUGCCAGCAGCCGCGGUAAUACGGAGGAUCCAAGCGUUAUCCGGAUUUAUUGGGUUUAAAGGGAGCGUAGGUGGGUGGAUAAGUUAGAGGUGAAAUUCCGAGGCUCAACUGCGGAAUUGCCUUUGAUACUGUCAGGCUAGAGAGUAGUUGCGGUAGGCGGAAUGUAUGGUGUAGCGGUGAAAUGCUUAGAGAUCAUACAGAACACCGAUUGCGAAGGCAGCUUACCAAGCUACUACUGACGUUGAGGCACGAAAGCGUGGGGAGCAAACAGGAUUAGAUACCCCUGUAGUC